UUUUUUUGUGGUGAUAAGGAUGCUUUGUGAUUGUGUGCAUUGUUCUGAUACGAGUGAAAAUAGUGCCAUAAAAACCCUGUAAAUCCGUCUGGCCCACGCGGUCACGCGUCCCGGAAGCGAAGGUGUAGCCGUACAGAGUUUGUAAACAAACUGGCUCAAACUGAUCGGAUGAGCGAAUGUCAGUCCUCUGAUGUGAUGAGGAUGAUGAAGACUCUCGUGAUGCUCUUCAUCCUGACCGGAGAGCAGCGCGAGGAUCCACCAGCUCCAGCUGCAGAAUGAGACGCGGCUCUCGUCCAUCUCAGCUCGUUCGGUUAUCUAGCCAGCAGCACUCUGGACAUCAGUGUUGUGUCUCUGAAUCUGCCGCCGGACAAGAGUGACCCUGGAAGAGUGGGCUUCAGGUUGUCCUGGUCUCAGGUGAGCGGCGUCCUGUCUGACACCGACCAGGAGGUGGAUGAGUGCAAGCUGCUGGAGAAACCCAGUGAAGAUGAGCUCGUCCUCUUCAUCAUCGACACCGAGGAGCUCAGCGUCCAAGUCAAACACAUCGGCAAAUCUGACUUCACGCUGGAGUCCAAACUGAAGACGGAGAAGACGGAUGGAGGGAAAGGUAGAACAGAUGCACGUGAGCCCGAAGUGUGUGUGUGUGUGUGUGUGUGUGUGUGUGUGUGUGAGUGUUUGUGAGUGA